rnacentral:tRNA from 3 species
CGGGGCGUGGCGCAGACUGGAAGCGCACCUGAAUGGGGUUCAGGGGGUCGGAGGUUCAAAUCCUCUCGCCCCGACCA